rnacentral:rRNA from 1 species
GAUGAACGCUGGCGGCGUGCCUAAUACAUGCAAGUCGAGCGAACAGACGAGGAGCUUGCUCCUCUGACGUUAGCGGCGGACGGGUGAGUAACACGUGGAUAACCUACCUAUAAGACUGGGAUAACUUCGGGAAACCGGAGCUAAUACCGGAUAAUAUAUUGAACCGCAUGGUUCAAUAGUGAAAGACGGUUUUGCUGUCACUUAUAGAUGGAUCCGCGCCGCAUUAGCUAGUUGGUAAGGUAACGGCUUACCAAGGCAACGAUGCGUAGCCGACCUGAGAGGGUGAUCGGCCACACUGGAACUGAGACACGGUCCAGACUCCUACGGGAGGCAGCAGUAGGGAAUCGUCCGCAAUGGGCGAAAGCCUGACGGAGCAACGCCGCGUGAGUGAUGAAGUUCUUCGGAUCGUAAAACUCUGUUAUUAGGGAAGAACAAAUGUGUAAGUAACUAUGCACGUCUUGACGGUACCUAAUCAGAAAGCCACGGCUAACUACG